rnacentral:rRNA from 1 species
CGGCUCACCAAGGCUACGACGGGUAGCUGGUUUGAGAGAAUGGUCAGCCACACUGGGACUGAGACACUGCCCAGACUCCUACGGGAGGCUGCAGUCGAGGAUCUUGGACCAUGUUCCAAAGCGUUAACCACAGAGACCGCGUGUGCAGAGAACAGGCUCUUAGGGUUUGUACAGCGGUCCUGAGAGAGAGACGCGUCGGGGCGCGAUAUACCCGCGGAGAUGUGAUUGUCUCCUCGAGAAGGACACGGGGAAUCUCUCUGUCACCAGACGCGCUAAUACACAGAUGUCGAGCGUUGUGCCGAAUUACCGGGCGUUAAAGGUGCGUUAGCGGGAAUGUGAGUCCGAAGUGAAAGUCCCCAGGUCCACUGUGGGACUGCGUUCCAUAAUGGCGUACUUGAAUACCGGCGAAGUGAGUGGAAAUCCUGGUGUAACGGUUGAAAUGCGUAGAUAUCAAGAAGAACGCCGUUAGCGAAAGCGACUCACUGGACAGAUACUGACGCUGAGGUACGAAAGCCAGGGUAGCGAAGAGGAUUAGAUACCCUCGUAGUCCUGCCCGUAAACGUUUGUGCACUUGGUGUGGGAGGAGUUAUCCCCUUCCGUGCCGGAGCUAACGCGUUAAGUGCACCGCCUGGGGAGUACGGCCGCAAGGUUAAAACUCAAAGGAAUUGACGGGGGCCCGCACAAGCGGUGGAGCAUGUGGCUUAAUUCGAUGCAACGCGAAGAACCUUACCUGGGCUUGACAUGGAGAGACUUCGGUCUAAACCGGUGAAAGUCGGUUGAACUCACACAGGUGCUGCAUGGCUGUCGUCAGCUCGUGCCGUGAGGUGUUGGGUUAAGUCCCGCAACGAGCGCAACCCUUAUCGUUAGUUGCCACCUGGGGAGAGAUCCCCAGAGCACUCUAGCGAGACUGCCCGUGACAAGCGGGAGGAAGGUGGGGAUGACGUCAAGUCAGUAUGGUCCUUAUGCCCAGGGCUGCACACGUGCUACAAUGAACGGUACAGAAGGAUGCGAAGCCGCGAGGCCAAGCAAAUCCCCAAAACCGUUCUCAGUUCGGAUUGUAGUCUGCAACUCGACUACAUGAAGCUGGAAUCGCUAGUAAAGGCGUAUCAGCUACGACGCCUUGAAUACGUUCCCGGGCCUUGUACACACCGCCCGUCACAUCAUGAGAGCCGAUUGCACCCGAAGUCGCCGGGUUAACCUUCACAGGAGACAGGUGCCGAAGGUGUGAUUGGUGAUUGGGAUGAAGUCG